rnacentral:ncRNA from 1 species
UGCCCUCUGGAAAGCAGGCCCCCGAGGUCUCGCCGAAGGUGAAAGUCCGGUAAAAACCGGGCGAAACUCUCAGGCAUCCACGACAGAGGGGGAGGA